UAUAUCAAUUCCAAUCUGAGUCGAACUGAAUCUAAUUCAAUUAGACUUAUUCCAAAACUCUUUACUCAAUCAAAUUAAGUUAAUUAGUAAUCUAAUUACUAAUUAAUUCUCCAUAAAUAGUAGAGUCUCAGUCCCAGUAGGACACUCCCACAGAGUCAGAGUCCUAGUCUAAGUAGAACUCUUCACCAGAGUCACAAUCCAAUUAGACUCUUCAGCCAUC
rnacentral:lncRNA from 1 species